UUUCCCCAAAUUUCGACAAUCUAAUUUCACCCAAAAAGAGCAUGGAAAAACCCUAGAAAUUAGGGAUUUUUGGGCUGAUUCCUUAAGAUAGAAAAAGGCUGAAAACACAAUAAGAACAGAAAAUAGAUUAGAUAAUGAUUCAGCACAAGUAGAAAUAAAGAAAGAAUUGACAGUAAGAAAUUAAAAGAUAAGUCCUAAGAAGCCUUGAAAUCUCGAAAGAUCUCACAACUCCCUUCAAACGGCUCUAAUCUCCCCUCCAAAGAAUAUCAAUGGCAAGAAGAAGGUUGAAGAUGGCUCCCACAAUCAAAAGAUUGUUAAAACAACUUCUAAAGAAAACUCAAGAGAGAAAUCUUGGAGAAAACUCAAAGAAAAUUCUGCUCUCAACAAAUCUGAAAUUUUAAUAAUAAUGAUCAGUGUUUAACAAGGUGGACAGCCAUGCCUUUAAAUAGGCCUUAUAACUAGUCCUAAUCUAAUUAGAAAACUAAAAUAAAAAAAACUCCUAAUGUUUUAAUAUGGAAAUUCGGUCAAAGGUCAUUUUAUCUGGGACUCUUGGACUGAAUAUUGACAUAAAAAUUUAAACUAAGUAAAUAAAUAAAUAAAUAAAUAAAAAUAAAAAUAAAACUUUACAACUUGGGCCACUUUGACAAUUUGGCCUGAUUUUCAAC
rnacentral:lncRNA from 1 species